AUUGAACGCUGGCGGCAUGCCUAACACAUGCAAGUCGAGCGAGCGGCGGACGGGUGAGUAAUUUCUGGGAAACUGCCUGAUGGAGGGGUAUAACUACUGGAAACGGUGGCUACUGCCGCUUAACGUCAGAUGUGCUCAGUUGGGUUUAGCUAGUAGGUGGGGAAACGGCUCACCUAGGCGACGAUCCCUAGCUGGUCUGAGAGGAUUACCAGCCACACUGGAACUGAGACACGGUCCAGACUCCUACGGGAGGCAGCAGUGGGGAAUAUUGCGCAAUGGGCGCAAGCCUGAUGCAGCAAUGCCGCGUGUGUGAAGAAGGUCUUCGGGUCGUAAAGCACUUUCAGCGAGGAGGGGUACCCACAGAAAAGCCCCGGCUAACUCCGUGCCAGCAGCCGCGGUAAUUC
rnacentral:rRNA from 1 species